AUUGAACGCUGGCGGCAGGCUUAACACAUGCAAGUCGAGCGGAGAGAGGUAGCUUGCUACUGAUCUUAGCGGCGGACGGGUGAGUAAUGCUUAGGAAUCUGCCUAUCAGUGGGGGACAACAUUUCGAAAGGAAUGCUAAUACCGCAUACGUCCUACGGGAGAAAGCAGGGGAUCUUCGGACCUCGCGCUAAUAGAUGAGCCUAAGUCGGAUUAGCUAGUUGGUGGGGUAAAGGCCUACCAAGGCGACGAUCUGUAGCGGGUCUGAGAGGAUGAUCCGCCACACUGGGACUGGGACACGGCCCAGACUCCUACGGGAGGCAGCAGUGGGGAAUAUUGGACAAUGGGCGGAAGCCUGAUCCAGCCAUGCCGCGUGUGUGAAGAAGGCCUUAUGGUUGUAAAGCACUUUAAGCGAGGAGGAGGCUACUUUAGUUAAUACCUAGAGAUAGUGGACGUUACUCGCAGAAUAAGCACCGGCUAACUCUGUGCCAGCAGCCGCCGUAA
rnacentral:rRNA from 1 species